rnacentral:rRNA from 1 species
CCUACGGGAGGCAGCAGUGGGGAAUAUUGGACAAUGGGGGCAACCCUGAUCCAGCCAUGCCGCGUGUGUGAAGAAGGCCCUCGGGUUGUAAAGCACUUUCAGUGAGGAAGAACGCCUGGUGGUUAAUACCCAUCAGGAAAGACAUCACUCACAGAAGAAGCACCGGCUAACUCCGUGCCAGCAGCCGCGGUAAUACGGAGGGUGCGAGCGUUAAUCGGAAUUACUGGGCGUAAAGCGCGCGUAGGUGGCUUGAUAAGCCGGUUGUGAAAGCCCCGGGCUCAACCUGGGAACGGCAUCCGGAACUAUCAAGCUAGAGUACCGGAGAGGAAGGUAGAAUUCCCGGUGUAGCGGUGAAAUGCGUAGAGAUCGGGAGGAAUACCAGUGGCGAAGGCGGCCUUCUGGACUGACACUGACACUGAGGUGCGAAAGCGUGGGUAGCAAACAGGAUUAGAUACCCGGGUAGUC